GAUGAACGCUGGCGGCGUGCUUAACACAUGCAAGUCGAACGAUGAAGCUGCCUGCUUGCAGGUGGUGGAUUAGUGGCGAACGGGUGAGUAUCACGUGAGUAACCUGCCCUUGACUCUGGGAUAAGCCCGGGAAACUGGGUCUAAUACCGGAUAUGACCUCUCAUCGCAUGGUGGGGGGUGGAAAGUUUUUAACGGUCUUGGAUGGGCUCGCGGCCUAUCAGCUUGACGGUGGGGUAGUGGCCUACCGUGGCUUUGACGGGUAGCCGGCUUGAGAGGGUGACCGGCCACACUGGGACUGAGACACGGCCCAGACUCCUACGGGAGGCAGCAGUGGGGAAUAUUGCACAAUGGGCGCAAGCCUGAUGCAGCCAUGCCGCGUGUAUGAAGAAGGCCUUCGGGUUGUAAAGUACUUUCAGCGGGGAGGAAGGGAGUAAAGUUAAUACCUUUACUCAUUGACGUUACCCGCAGAAGAAGCACCGGCUAACUCCGUGCCAGCAGCCGCAGUAA
rnacentral:rRNA from 1 species